rnacentral:tRNA from 1 species
GGAACUGGCUCAGUUGGUAGAGUGCCUGCCUCGCGUCACGAGGCCCUGGGUUCCAUCCCCAGCACCA